ACUGGGAGCGUGGCGUCUCCUGUAAUCCGGCUACUCGGAGGUCGGGUACAGAGGAUGGUUUGAGGUUGGGAGUCCUGUUACUGUGUGGUCCAUGUUGACUGGACGUCCACACUAAGCCUGGUAUUAAUAUGGACCCCCCGGAGGAGUCUGGGGGGUGCAGGUUAACUAAGGAGAGGCGAAUCGGGCCAGGGGGGAAACCCAGCAGCCAAAAGUCUCCGUAUCGGGCAGUAGUGGGAUAGCGGCCGGGAGUGGACGCUCAAUAACAGCCCGACCAAUACAAUCAGACCUGUUCCUUU
rfam:Danaus plexippus plexippus isolate F-2 unplaced genomic scaffold DPSCF300006, whole genome shotgun sequence.